AUGCAAGUCGAACGAGACCUUCGGUUCUAGUGGCGCACGGGUGCGUAACGCGUGGGAAUCUGCCCUUUGCUUCGGAAUAACAGUUAGAAAUGACUGCUAAUACCGGAUGAUGUCUUCGGACCAAAGAUUUAUCGGCAAAGGAUGAGCCCGCGUAGGAUUAGGUAGUUGGUGGGGUAAAGGCCUACCAAGCCGACGAUCCUUAGCUGGUCUGAGAGGAUGAUCAGCCACACUGGGACUGAGACACGGCCCAGACUCCUACGGGAGGCAGCAGUGGGGAAUAUUGGACAAUGGGCGCAAGCCUGAUCCAGCAAUGCCGCGUGAGUGAUGAAGGCCUUCGGGUCGUAAAGCUCUUUUACCAGGGAUGAUAAUGACAGUACCUGGAGAAUAAGCUCCGGCUAACUCCGUGCCAGCAGCCGCGGUAAUACGGAGGGAGCUAGCGUUGUUCGGAAUUACUGGGCGUAAAGAGUACGUAGGCGGCUAUUCAAGUCAGAGGUGAAAGCCCGGGGCUCAACCCCGGAACUGCCUUUGAAACUAGGUAGCUAGAAUCUUGGAGAGGUCAGUGGAAUUCCGAGUGUAGAGGUGAAAUUCGUAGAUAUUCGGAAGAACACCAGUGGCGAAGGCGACUGACUGGAC
rnacentral:rRNA from 1 species